AAAAAAAAAAAAGUAAGGAUAGUAGAUACAUCUGGAUUAGAGGGAGAGGUGUGUAGUCUAGUGGUCUAGAAGGGAUAUAUAGGGGUUUUCUUGACUAGGGGGUGGUCACCUUUACCAUGAUAAUUAUCAAGUGAACAUAGUCUGCCUGGGGCUGUCCCAGUUUAAGCCUCAAACCAGGUUAAAUUUUUUUUUUUUUUUGACACGGAGUCUUGCUCUGUCACUGAGGCUGGACUGCAGCGGCGUGAUCUCAGCUCACUGCAACCUCUGCCUCCCGGAUUCCAGCUAUUCUCCUGCCUCUGCCUCCCAAGUAGCUGAGAUUACAGGCGCCCACCACCACACCCAACUAAUUUUUAUAUUUUUAGUAGAGACAUGGUUUCGCCAUAUUGGCCAGACUGGUCUCGAACUCCUGACCUCAGGUAAUCCACCUGCCUUGGCCUCCCAAAGUGCUGGGAUUACAGGCGUGAGCCACCAUGCCCAGCCAGGUUAAAUAUUAAUAGUAGCCUUUUUUCAUUUUCAAAGGGGUUCUGUUUUAGAUGAUAUGUUAUGUGUUCAGCUAUUAUACUGUACAUUUAUGUUUUAUGCACUUUUAUGUAUUUAUUAUAUGUCAAAAAUGUUUUUAAGUUAAAAAAAUUAGUAUCAGGAAGUCUGGCCUAUGAUCAGGAGUCCAGGCCAACCUGGGAAACCUUGCAUUUGCUUUAAGAUUCAAGAUUACUACAGAGACCACAGCAGUAGUAUUGCCAAUCCAGGUGUGGACUUCCUGAACAGAGGCUGUGAUGCCCCACCUUGGUUUUCUUCUGGCUCCUGUGACAUGAGAUAGUUAGCUUUGGUUCUUUGUCCUGCAUAUGGCUGGAGAAGUGGCAUAGCUCUUAGUUCUAAUUGUGAAGGUCAGUCCAAGAUAAUAUAUGAGAAAGUGCAUUGUAAACAGUUUAGGUUUUUUCUACUUUGAGUGGCAGGAGUUUCCUAAAUUCCUAGAUCGGCAGGACCUCAACAUCAUUGCAGUGCUACCUGUCAGGUUAAUCUUCCUGUAAUACAGCCUUUCUACUUGAAACUUUUUACUAUAACUCCUGGAUACCUACAGAAUGAAAUCUAAAGUCCUAAACUUGGCAUUCAACGCACCACAAACUGACAUCCAACCAAGUUUCCAACACUAUUUCUGCUGUUCCUCUUCAUUGGCUAUUGAACCACAUUCAACCAUGUGGUGUUCCAAAAAUGCUGUUCCCUUUCCAACCUCACCUCAUACUUUUCUCUCCAGUAGAAUGCCUUGUUCUUUCUUAUUUUAUUUUUAUUUUUUUUGACGGAG
rnacentral:lncRNA from 1 species